GGCGUGCGAUACAGGGUGACAGCCCCGUACACAAAAAUGCACAUAUUGUGAGCUCGAUGAGUAGGGCGGGACACGUGGUAUCCUGUCUGAAUAUGGGGGGACCAUCCUCCAAGGCUAAAUACUCCUGACUGACCGAUAGUGAACCAGUACCGUGAGGGAAAGGCGAAAAGAACCCCGGCGAGGGGAGUGAAAAAGAACCUGAAACCGUGUACGUACAAGCAGUGGGAGCCUCUUAAUGGGGUGACUGCGUACCUUUUGUAUAAUGGGUCAGCGACUUAUAUUCUGUAGCAAGGUUAACCGAAUAGGGGAGCCGAAGGGAAACCGAGUCUUAACUGGGCGUUAAGUUGCAGGGUAUAGACCCGAAACCCGGUGAUCUAGCCAUGGGCAGGUUGAAGGUUGGGUAACACUAACUGGAGGACCGAACCGACUAAUGUUGAAAAAUUAGCGGAUGACUUGUGGCUGGGGGUGAAAGGCCAAUCAAACCGGGAGAUAGCUGGUUCUCCCCGAAAGCUAUUUAGGUAGCGCCUCGUGAAUUCAUCUCCGGGGGUAGAGCACUGUUUCGGCAAGGGGGUCAUCCCGACUUACCAACCCGAUGCAAACUGCGAAUACCGGAGAAUGUUAUCACGGGAGACACACGGCGGGUGCUAACGUCCGUCGUGAAGAGGGAAACAACCCAGACCGCCAGCUAAGGUCCCAAAGUCAUGGUUAAGUGGGAAACGAUGUGGGAAGGCCCAGACAGCCAGGAUGUUGGCUUAGAAGCAGCCAUCAUUUAAAGAAAGCGUAAUAGCUCACUGGUCGAGUCGGCCUGCGCGGAAGAUGUAACGGGGCUAAACCAUGCACCGAAGCUGCGGCAGCGACACUAUGUGUUGUUGGGUAGGGGAGCGUUCUGUAAGCCUGUGAAGGUGGCCUGUGAGGGUUGCUGGAGGUAUCAGAAGUGCGAAUGCUGACAUAAGUAACGAUAAAGCGGGUGAAAAGCCCGCUCGCCGGAAGACCAAGGGUUCCUGUCCAACGUUAAUCGGGGCAGGGUGAGUCGACCCCUAAGGCGAGGCCGAAAGGCGUAGUCGAUGGGAAACAGGUUAAUAUUCCUGUACUUGGUGUUACUGCGAAGGGGGGACGGAGAAGGCUAUGUUGGCCGGGCGACGGUUGUCCCGGUUUAAGCGUGUAGGCUGGUUUUCCAGGCAAAUCCGGAAAACCAAGGCUGAGGCGUGAUGACGAGGCACUACGGUGCUGAAGCGACAAAUGCCCUGCUUCCAGGAAAAGCCUCUAAGCAUCAGGUAACAUCAAAUCGUACCCCAAACCGACACAGGUGGUCAGGUAGAGAAUACCAAGGCGCUUGAGAGAACUCGGGUGAAGGAACUAGGCAAAAUGGUGCCGUAACUUCGGGAGAAGGCACGCUGAUAUGUAGGUGAAGCGACUUGCUCGUGGAGCUGAAAUCAGUCGAAGAUACCAGCUGGCUGCAACUGUUUAUUAAAAACACAGCACUGUGCAAACACGAAAGUGGACGUAUACGGUGUGACGCCUGCCCGGUGCCGGAAG
rnacentral:rRNA from 1 species